UUCUCUGUGUAGCUCUGGCUGUCCUGGAACUCACUCUGUAGAUAAGGCUGGCCUUGAACUCAGAGAUCCUCCUGCCUCUGCCUCCGAAAUGCUGGGAAUAAAGGUGUGAGCCACCAUAUGC
rnacentral:miRNA from 1 species